rnacentral:rRNA from 1 species
UUUCAAGAUUCUAAGAGCAAACGGUGGAUGCCUUGGCAUCUGGAGCCGAAGAAGGACGUAUAAAUCUGCGAUAAGCCUCGGGGAGCUGAUAAUAGAGCUUUGAUCCGAGGAUCUCCGAAUGGGGAAACCCCGCCAGGCCCUUUGGGUGACCUGGUGACUCCCGCCUGAAUAUAUAGGGCGGGUAGAGGGAACGUGGGGAAGUGAAACAUCUCAGUACCCACAGGAAGAGAAAGCAAAAGCGAUUCCGUUAGUAGUGGCGAGCGAAACCGGAAGAGGCCAAACCGAUCAUGUGUGAUAUCCGGUAGGAGUUGCAUGGUCGGGGUUGCGGGACUUUCCGUACAGUUCUACCGAGCUGUGAGGGCAAUGAGCGCGAUAUAGACGAAUGGUCUUGAAAGGCCAGUCAUAGAGGGUGCGAACCCCGUAGUCGAAAUGUCGUCGCCUGUCCGGAGAGUAUCCCAAGUAGCACGGGGCCCGAGAAAUCCCGUGUGAAUCUGUCAGGACCACCUGAUAAGCCUAAAUACUCCCAGAUGACCGAUAGCGGACAAGUACCGUGAGGGAAAGGUGAAAAGUACCCCGGGAGGGGAGUGAAAUAGUACCUGAAACCGUUUGCUUACAAACCGUUGGAGCACCCUUGUUGGUGUGACAGCGUGCCUUUUGAAGAAUGAGCCUGCGAGUUAGUGAUAUGUGGCGAGGUUAACCCGUGUGGGGCAGCCGUAGCGAAAGCGAGUCUUAAUAGGGCGUAUGAGUCGCAUGUUCUAGACCCGAAGCGAAGUGAUCUAUCCAUGGCCAGGUUGAAGCGACGGUAAGACGUCGUGGAGGACCGAACCCACUUCAGUUGAAAAUGGAGGGGAUGAGCUGUGGAUAGGGGUGAAAGGCCAAUCAAACUUCGUGAUAGCUGGUUCUCUCCGAAAUGCAUUUAGGUGCAGCGUUGCGUGUUUCUUGCCGGAGGUAGAGCUACUGGAUGGACGAUGGGCCCCAAAAGGUUACUGACUUCAGCCAAACUCCGAAUGCCGGUAAGUGAGAGCGCAGCAGUGAGACGGUGGGGGAUAAGCUUCAUCGUCGAGAGGGAAACAACCCAGACCACCAUCUAAGGUCCCUAAGCGCGUGCUAAGUGGGAAAGGAUGUGGAGUUGCAUAGACAACCAGGAGGUUGGCUUAGAAGCAGCCACCCUUGAAAGAGUGCGUAAUAGCUCACUGGUCAAGUGAUUCCGCGCCGACAAUGUAACGGGGCUCAAGCACGCCACCGAAGUUGUGGCAUUUAUAUUAUAGGCAGGCCUUCGUGGUCCAGCCGUAUGGAUGGGUAGGAGAGCGUCGUGUGGCCAGCGAAGCGGCGGUGUGAACCAGCCGUGGAGGCCACACGAGUGAGAAUGCAGGCAUGAGUAGCGAAAGACGGGUGAGAAACCCGUCCUCCGAAAGACCAAGGGUUCCAGGGCCAGGCUAAUCCGCCCUGGGUAAGUCGGGACCUAAGGCGAGGCCGACAGGCGUAGUCGAUGGACAACGGGUUGAUAUUCCCGUACCGAUGAAGAACCGCCCAAGACAAUCCAGUAAUGCUAAGUGUCUGAAUCCUUGAUUCGAUCCCUUCGGGGUGACGGUCUUGGCCUAGCACACGACCCUACGCUGGGGCGUUUAGCGUAUUAACAGGUGUGACGCAGGAAGGUAGCUGAGCCGGGCGAUGGUUGUCCCGGUCUAAGGAUGUAGGGCAGAAGAUAGGCAAAUCCGUCUUCUAUGUAGCCUGAGACCCGAUGGGUAGUCCUCACGGACGAAAUCAGUGAUCCUAUGCUGCCGAGAAAAGCAUCGACGCGAGGUUCCAAUCGCCCGUACCCCAAACCGACUCAGGUGGUCAGGUAGAGAAUACUAAGGAGAUCGAGAGAAUCGUGGUUAAGGAACUCGGCAAAAUGCCCCCGUAACUUCGGGAGAAGGGGGGCCUGAGGCGUGUAGGGAUUUACUCCUGAAGCGUUUGAAGGCCGCAGAGACCAGUGGGAAGCGACUGUUUACUAAAAACACAGGUCCGUGCUAAGUCGCAAGACGAUGUAUACGGACUGACGCCUGCCCGGUGCUGGAAGGUUAAGAGGAACGGUUAGCACGCAAGUGCGAAGCUGAGAAUUUAAGCCCCAGUAAACGGCGGUGGUAACUAUAACCAUCCUAAGGUAGCGAAAUUCCUUGUCGGGUAAGUUCCGACCUGCACGAAUGGCGUAACGACUUCCCAGCUGUCUCAACCGCGAACUCGGCGAAAUUGCACUACGAGUAAAGAUGCUCGUUACGCGCAGCAGGACGGAAAGACCCCGUGACCUUUACUACAGCUUGGUAUUGGUGUUCGGUGUGGCUUGUGUAGGAUAGGUGGGAGACUGUGAAGCUCGGACGCUAGUUCGGGUGGAGUCAUUGUUGAAAUACCACUCUGGUCACUCUGGAUAUCUAACUUCGAACCGUAAUCCGGUUCAGGGACAGUGCCUGGUGGGUAGUUUAACUGGGGCGGUUGCCUCCUAAAGAGUAACGGAGGCGCCCAAAGGUUCCCUCAACCUGGUUGGUAAUCAGGUGUCGAGUGUAAGUGCACAAGGGAGCUUGACUGUGAGACUGACAAGUCGAGCAGGGACGAAAGUCGGGACUAGUGAUCCGGCAGUGGCUUGUGGAAGCGCUGUCGCUCAACGGAUAAAAGGUACCUCGGGGAUAACAGGCUGAUCUUGCCCAAGAGUCCAUAUCGACGGCAUGGUUUGGCACCUCGAUGUCGGCUCGUCGCAUCCUGGGGCUGGAGUAGGUCCCAAGGGUUGGGCUGUUCGCCCAUUAAAGCGGUACGCGAGCUGGGUUUAGAACGUCGUGAGACAGUUCGGUCCCUAUCCGCUGCGCGCGUAGGAAAUUUGAGAAGAUCUAUCCCUAGUACGAGAGGACCGGGAUGGACGAACCUCUGGUGUGUCAGUUGUUCCGCCAGGAGCACCGCUGAUUAGCUACGUUCGGAACGGAUAACCGCUGAAAGCAUCUAAGCGGGAAGCCGGCUUCGAGAUGAGAUUUCCAUCCCUUUUAGGGUGAAGGCUCCCGGCUAGACUACCGGGUUGAUAGGCAGGAUGUGGAAGCGAGGACUAAAGACUCGUGGAGCUGACCUGUACUAAUAAGCCGAUAUCUUGAAAAC